rnacentral:snoRNA from 13 species
CCUCCCUGAUGAAGUUUCUGACUUUUCGAUCUUCUGAGUUUGCUGAAGCCAGAUGCCAUGCCAGAGAAGA